AUUGGUGCUUGCAUCAUGAUUUACAUUUGAGUGAGUGGCGAACUGGUGAGUAACACGUGGGAAACCUGCCCAGAAGCGGGGGAUAACACCUGGAAACAGAUGCUAAUACCGCAUAACAACUUGGACCGCAUGGUCCGAGUUUGAAAGAUGGCUUCGGCUAUCACUUUUGGAUGGUCCCGCGGCGUAUUAGCUAGAUGGUGGGGUAACGGCUCACCAUGGCAAUGAUACGUAGCCGACCUGAGAGGGUAAUCGGCCACAUUGGGACUGAGACACGGCCCAAACUCCUACGGGAGGCAGCAGUAGGGAAUCUUCCACAAUGGACGAAAGUCUGAUGGAGCAACGCCGCGUGAGUGAAGAAGGGUUUCGGCUCGUAAAACUCUGUUGUUAAAGAAGAACAUAUCUGAGAGUAACUGUUCAGGUAUUGACGGUAUUUAACCAGAAAGCCACGGCUAACUACGUGCCAGCAGCCGCGGUAAUACGUAGGUGGCAAGCGUUGUCCGGAUUUAUUGGGCGUAAAGCGAGCGCAGGCGGUUUUUUAAGUCUGAUGUGAAAGCCUUCGGCUCAACCGAAGAAGUGCAUCGGAAACUGGGAAACUUGAGUGCAGAAGAGGACAGUGGAACUCCAUGUGUAGCGGUGAAAUGCGUAGAUAUAUGGAAGAACACCAGUGGCGAAGGCGGCUGUCUGGUCUGUAACUGACGCUGAGGCUCGAAAGUAUGGGUAGCAAACAGGAUUAGAUACCCUGGUAGUCCAUACCGUAAACGAUGAAUGCUAAGUGUUGGAG
rnacentral:rRNA from 2 species